UACGUAGGGUCCGAGCGUUGUCCGGAAUUACUGGGCGUAAAGAGCUCGUAGGUGGUUUGUCGCGUUGUUCGUGAAAACUCACAGCUCAACUGUGGGCGUGCGGGCGAUACGGGCAGACUAGAGUACUGCAGGGGAGACUGGAAUUCCUGGUGUAGCGGUAGAAUGCGCAGAUAUCAGGAGGAACACCGGUGGCGAAGGCGGGUCUCUGGGCAGUAACUGACGCUGGAGGAGCGAAAGCGUGGGGAGCGAACAGGA
rnacentral:rRNA from 1 species